rnacentral:rRNA from 1 species
CACGUAGGGACCGAGCGUUGUCCGGAUUCAUUGGGCGUAAAGAGCUCGUAGGCGGUCGGGUAAGUCGGGUGUGAAAUCUCCGGGCUCAACUCGGAGGGGCCACCCGAUACUGCACGACUCGAGUCCGGUAGGGGAGUGUGGAAUUCCUGGUGUAGCGGUGAAAUGCGCAGAUAUCAGGAGGAACACCGGUGGCGAAGGCGCCACUCUGGGCCGGUACUGACGCUGAGGAGCGAAAGCGUGGGUAGCAAACAGG